ACACCACCACCGACUCGACCGUCUCAGCUCUCCCCCUACCUUUCCCUGAUCGAAUUUUGCAGUUCAAUCCUUCAUAAUCGGACACCAAAUCUUGUUUCUUAGCCCAUUCUUAACCUUGUGCUGUAUUACUGGAAUCGAGAACGUAAAUCCCACCCCAUUCUUACAUCCUGAUCGUUUUGUCGAAGUUGAUUUUGAAGAGUUAGUUGCUCGUGCAACAUCAGAAUCGAAGAUUACCAGAUUGUACGAAUCAUUUCGUCCAAACCCAGAUAACCUAAUCGAUCCUUGCACUCCUCAGAAUCUGUGAUUUCACCGGGAGAUUCUAAUUCCAGGCUUGUUGCUUUUUUGGAAUAGUAGCAAAUUGACUGUGAAUAUUAUCUUUAAGCAUGAUAGCUUCUUUCACUGUUUCAUAACAGAUAAUCGUUUUAUGCUACUUUUCUUUACAUGCAUGCACAUAAAAACCAACAGCUACAUCUCUGGCAAUAGUUAUCUAGAUUUAAGCCUGCUAAUGCUUAUUAUCGGCGAUUUUAACUGUAUUAUCAAUUAAUGUUUGGAGGUGUUAGAAUGACUUCUUAAUUUAUGCUUAAUUUCCAAUGGUUUCUGAACUGUAACCGUCUAAUUUCUUUACCUGCUUCUGGAUGUACAUUUACUUGGUGUAAUAACCAAGAUCCUGACACUAGAAUUUAUGAGAAGCAUGAUAGAGUGUGGUAGCUACUAGCUACUUCUGCUAUCCCACUUGGCACUGAAUGACUAGAACCCAAAUUUGUCAAGUAGCAACUGUUAAUGUAUGCUAGAUCAGUUCGGUAAUGUUUUAAAUCAAGAUACAGAUGAACCAAGGAAAUGCAGCUUUAGUCUGUAGGCAUCCAUACACAAACCCUCAUCAUGAAGAUAUAUAUAUAUAUAUAUAUAUAUAUAUUACAGUUUCUAACUUAUCUAUUAUACAUGUAUAUAAGCAUAGCUGAUCAUGGUCAGUUCUUUUGCCUUUGAGCAGACUACAUAAAUGAUUUUGGUUCAAACAUAAAUCCAAUAGCAAAUAAAUGGUUCCAUUUUGUGGCCUUUUAAUCUCAUAUAUUAUCAAUCACAGACCCAGUAUCCCAAUAGUUUUAUAACAUUGAAGAUUUUAUAAUUGGGUGGGAAGGUUCCAGUGUUUUAUGAGCAGGACUUUGUGACUUAAUGUUUUUAGGAAGCUGAACUUCUAAUCACAGGGUUGAGAGAUAAGUUCUAACCACACUCUGAUCAUUGUUUCAGGGAUGUUGGACUUCCAUAUGUGAUUUUCAUAAUAACAGUAUCUAAAGUACUAUUCAUGUUUUGAACAUUCCUUUACCACAAUAUCGAUGUAAACAGAAAAUCAUAUGAUUAAUGUGUGUGCUUCAAAUCGUCUUGGGUACAGAAGUGGUUCUCAAUGUUAGUUCGAUUUUGUUCUUCUUUUCAUGGUUCGAUGCAUAUGCUCCAAGUAGAAAUAGGUGGUACAAUGUUUUUAUUGAAUCCAUGAUAAUCAUGAAAAGUAAUAGAUACUAUCAUACACACGACUAGGAAAACAAGACUACAGUAAUUAGUUUCAUUUAAUUUCAUGAAGCUGUCGCUGUUAUCUUGUGUGUUGUUGCAAUGAAAUUGAAGUAUCUACUGUCACUGAGUGUUGAAAUCACUAAUAGGUCAAUGCACUCUCUGUUCUGAUUUUACACUCCGUUGAAGUCAUGUAGUUGUGUCAAUAAAUCUGAAGCUGAUCCCUUUCUUGUUCUCUUGCAAUCUGUGGUAGGUUUUUGUUUUUCUAGCUGCUGAAUAUGUGACCCCAAAGAACGCAGUGAAUCAGAUCUCUCUCUGGGAUGGUAUCAUACUUUCCGAGAAGGAUGCCAAAUUUUCUAUUCGGACUACAAACAAGUAUUGAUUUGUUGAUGAGCCACUGAUGAGAUUGUCGAGACUGCUGAGCGGAGUCAGGAUUCGUUACUGUUAAUCAUGUGGCCAACGUUCAUGGACUACAAGGAAAGAUUCAUGUGAAAUCUGUCAUUAACUUGUGUAUUCCUGAGCAUUUCUUGGAAUUUUUUAGAGAGGAUUGGUGGAUGAGAUUUGUAAUGGAAACAAUUCUUUCUGUGGUUAAGGGCUGUAUUUUAGGUUGUUGUAUAUCAGUUAAUUGGUCUUGACGGUUUAGAUGUAUACAUCUUAGGUGAUGUGAUAAUAACUGGAAGCCA